GAAGCUGCUGACCCCACACUGUCGAGAAAAGCUUCUAGUUAGAGAAUUACCGCCCGUACCGUAAACCGACACAGGUAUGCGGGGAGAGAAUCCUAAGGUGCGCGGGAGAACCCUCGUUAAGGAACUCGGCAAAAUGUACCCGUAACUUCGGGAUAAGGGUAGCCGCUGUUGUGAAGUCUGAACAGACGGAGCAUGAGGCGGUCGCAGAGAAGAGGCCCAAGCGACUGUUUACCACAAACACAGGUGCCUGCUAAAGAGAAAUCUGACGUAUAGGUGCUGACACCUGCCCAGUGCCGGAAGGUUAAGGAAGGAUGUCCGGAGCAAUCCAAAGCAUUCGACCGAAGCCCCGGUGAACGGCGGCCGUAACUAUAACGGUCCUAAGGUAGCGAAAUUCCUUGUCGGGUAAGUUCCGACCCGCACGAAAGGUGUAACGAUUUGGGCACUGUCUCAACGAGGGACCCGGUGAAAUUGAAGUACCUGUGAAGAUGCAGGUUACCCGCGACUGGACAGAAAGACCCCAUGGAGCUUUACUGUAACCUGACAUUGGGUUCUGAUACAUCACGUACAGGAUAGGUGGGAGGCAUGGAAGCGAGGACGCUAGUCUUCGUGGAGCCGCCGUUGGGAUACCACCCUUGAUGUAUCGGAAUUCUAACCGUAGGAGUAACGAAACUCGGGACAGUGUCAGGCGGGCAGUUUGACUGGGGCGGUCGCCUCCCAAAGAGUAACGGAGGCGCCCAAAGGUUCCCUCAGCGCGGCCGGAAAUCGCGCGAAGAGUGUAAAGGCAGAAGGGAGCUUGACUGAGAGCCAAACACGGCAAUCAGGUACGAAAGUAGGGCUUAGUGAUCCGGUGGCAUCCAAGUGGAAGGGCCAUCGCUCAACGGAUAAAAGCUACCCUGGGGAUAACAGGCUAAUCUCUCCCAAGAGUCCAUAUCGACGGGGAGGUUUGGCACCUCGAUGUCGGCUCAUCACAUCCUGGGGCUGAAGUCGGUCCCAAGGGUUGGGCUGUUCGCCCAUUAAAGUGGUACGUGAGCUGGGUUCAGAACGUCGUGAGACAGUUCGGUCCCUAUCCAUCGCGGGCGCAAGAGAUUUGAAGGGGGCUGCUCCUAGUACGAGAGGACCGGAGUGGACGAACCAAUGGUGUACCAAUUAUCUCGCCAGAGGUAUAGUUGGGUAGCUACGUUCGGAAAGGAUAAACGCUGAAAGCAUCUAAGCGUGAAACCAGCCUUAAGAUGAGAUCUCUCAUAGAGCAAUCUAGUAAGACACCUUGGAGAAGACGAGGUUGAUAGGUCGGGAGUGUAAGUACAGUAAUGUAUUCAGCGGACCGAUACUAAUAUGUCGAGGGCUUGACUUG
rnacentral:rRNA from 1 species